AUGAGUCUGGUGACAAGACUGUCCUUGCUUCUGACGUUGGGAACUCUGAGCCUUGCUAAGACCACCCAGCCCAUCUUUAUUGACUCCUAUGAAGGACAAAAAGUGAACAUCACUUGUAAUCACACUGAGAUUUCUACAAAUGAGUAUAUCUACUGGUACCGGCAGCUCCGCAAUCAGGAGCCAAAAUUUAUUUUGCAAACAUAUAAGAACAACGAGGUACAGGAAGCGGCAUCUCUGUUUGUCACUCAGGACAGGAAGUCCAGCACCCUGAGCCUGCCUCCGACCACCCUGAGCGACUCGGGUGUGUACUACUGCAUCGUGCGUGACACAGUGACACAGACACGGCUGCACCUGUGCGGGAUCCCCCAGAGCUGGGGCACAGCCCAGAGGGAGCCCAAGAGUGCUUUCUGA